GCGGACGCUGGGGCUGGUUGCUGAAUCCGAGCCAGUUUUUGCGGCGAGGAGGGCGAGGGGCCGCGCGGCAGCUCCCCGCUGCCCCAGCCCGGCCCCUCGGGCGGGCCCCGCAUCUCUGCGAGCCCCCAGGAGCGCUUCUGCCUGGGGGGCUAAACUCUGUCCCGUUGGUGGGAGUGUUAAGGCCCAGGGGCUGCGGCUGGGGGUGUCUCCCGUCGGUGGUUGGAGGCAGGCGGGGGGGGGGAGCCCCUUCGAGCAGCGGAGAAAUACCAUGCCGGGGGGGGGAAGCUUCUGUCCCCUCCGACCUGUGAGGGCGACUGCGCGCAGAGAGGGCCGGGGGGUGACUUGCUGUGGGGAGAGCUCGUGGUGUCAGGGAGCAAUUUCAAUCCGCCCCGGGGAUCCUUAGGCGCUGAGCCCAAAGUUACACUGACUCCGCGCAUCCAGGCUGCUGCGCUGUGCUCUGGGGGUUCGGGCCGCUUGUCUCCCCUGCGCUCUGCAGCACCGCAUUGCAACGCGCAGGCCAAGGCCGCCUCUCUGCUUGCAGAGAGACUGAACUGAAUUUGACCCACAGCCUCUUGCUUCUCCUCGCGGCUGCUUUCCUGUGCUAUUCUGGACGAAGGUUGUGAUGGGUUUGGUCAUAGAGACCGCCUUGGAACUGUCACCCGAUGUGCUGAAACUACCUCUGAGCCAGUCUUCCCUGCCAACUUGGGUCUCCAGAACCCUGUCUUGUUGAGCCAGACACACAAGACUGCUGCAACACAGACCCAGGGUCUGAACCACACCCCCAAAGUUGAAAACUUAACUGAAAACAGCUCAGAAGUGCUGUGACUGAAAGAUAUGAACAAGACUGUGCAGCUGCUCACAAGAGGCGUGUCACACAAGGCUCUGACCAGGACGUCGGGG